AUUGAACGCUGGCGGCAGGCCUCACACAUGCAAGUCGAGCGGAGCUGCGGACGGGUGAGUAAUGCCUAGGAAUCUGCCUGGUAGUGGGGGAUAACGUCCGGAAACGGGCGCUAAUAACGCCUACUAUCAGAUGAGCCUAGGUCGGAUUCGCAAGUUGGGGGGGUAAAGGCCUACCAAGGAGACGAUACGUAACUGGUCUGAGAGGAUGAUCAGUCACACGGGAACUGAGACACGGUCCAGAUUCCUACGGGAGGCAGCAGUGGGGAAUAGUGCGAAAUGGGGGAAACCCUGACGCAGCAAUGCCGCGUGAAUGAAGAAGGCCUUCGGGUUGUAAAGUUCUUUCGGUAGCGAGGCGUUAACGACAGAAGAAGCACCGGCUAACUCCGUGCCAGCAGCCGCGGUAAUAC
rnacentral:rRNA from 1 species